AGCUCGUAGUUGGAUUUCUGUUAAUAUUUUAUAUUAUUAAUUUAUUAUUAUUAAUAUAAUGUUAACAUAAUUCAUAUUACUUUUUAAGUAUAUGAAAUUUUACUUUGAGAAAAUUAGAGUGCUUAAAGCAGGCUUUUGCCUUGAAUACUCCAGCAUGGAAUAAUAUUAAAGAUUUUUAUCUUUCUUAUUGGGUCUAAGAUAGAAAUAAUGAUUAAUAGGGACAGUUGGGGGCAUUUGUGUUUAACAGUCAGAGGUGAAAUUCUUAGAUUUGUUAAAGACAAACUAAUGCGCAAGCAUUUGCCAAGGAUGUUUUCAUUAAUCAAGAACGAAAGUUAGGGGAUCGAAGACGAUCAGAUACCGUCGUAGUCUUAACCAUAAACUAUGCCCACUAGAGAUUGGGGGUUGUUCCUUACUCCUUCAGCACCUUA
rnacentral:rRNA from 1 species